UUGAUCCUGGCUCAGAAUGAACGCUGGCGGCGUGCUUAACACAUGCAAGUCGAACGAGAAAUCUUUAGCUUGCUAGAGAAAGUAAAGUGGCGCACGGGUGAGUAACGCGUGGGUAAUCUGCCUCCGAAUCGGGGAUAACAUUGCGAAAGCGAUGCUAAUACCGGAUAAAAUCUGGUUGGCUUCGGUGAACCGGAUCAAAGGUGGUCUCUUUUAAAAAGCUACCGUUUGGAGAUGAGCUCGCGUACCAUUAGCUUGUUGGUGGGGUAAAGGCUCACCAAGGCGACGAUGGUUAGCUGGUCUGAGAGGAUGAUCAGCCACACCGGAACUGGAACACGGUCCGGACUCCUACGGGAGGCAGCAGUGAGGAAUUUUGCGCAAUGGGGGAAACCCUGACGCAGCAACGCCGCGUGAGUGAUGAAGGCUUUCGGGUCGUAAAGCUCUGUCAGGUGGGAAGAACCCACCAGGUGUAAACAUCACCUGGUGCUGACGGUACCACCGAAGGAAGCACCGGCUAACUCCGUGCCAGCAGCCGCGGUAAUACGGGGGGUGCGAGCGUUAUUCGGAAUCAUUGGGCGUAAAGGGCGCGCAGGCGGUUUUGUAAGUCAGAUGUGAAAUCCCGGGGCUUAACCCCGGAAGUGCAUAUGAAACUAUGAGACUUGAGUAUGGGAGAGGGAAGCGGAAUUCCUGGUGUAGCGGUGAAAUGCGUAGAUAUCAGGAGGAACACCGGUGGCGAAGGCGGCUUCCUGGACCAAUACUGACGCUGAGGCGCGAAGGCGUGGGGAGCGAACAGGAUUAGAUACCCUGGUAGUCCACGCAGUAAACGUUGAUCACUAGGUGUAGCGGGUAUUGAGCCCUGCUGUGCCGGAGUUAACGCAUUAAGUGAUCCGACUGGGGAGUACGAUCGCA
rnacentral:rRNA from 1 species